CCAUGGUGUACUACCUAGGCCAGGGCCAAAAGGUGCAGAAAGUGAUGGUGCAGCCCAUCAACCUCAUCUUCAGAUACUCGCAAAAUAGAUCUCAGAUUCAGGUGUGGCUCUAUGAGCAAGUGAAUAUGCGGAUAGAGGGCUGUAUUAUUGGUUUUGAUGAGUCCAUGAACCUUGUGUUAGAUGAUGCAGAAGAAAUUCAUUCAAAAACAAAGUCAAGAAAACAACUGGGUCAGAUCAUGCUAAAACCAGAUAAUAUCACUCUGCUACAAAGUGUCUCCAACUAGAAUUGAUGAGUGUAGUGACAUUGUUAAGAAUACUAUAGUUUUUUUUUUAAUGUU